rnacentral:rRNA from 1 species
AGAGUUUGAUCAUGGCUCAGAACGAACGCUGGCGGCAGGCCUAAUACAUGCAAGUCGAGCGGGCGUAGCAAUACGUCAGCGGCGGACGGGUGAGUAACACGUGGGAACAUGCCCCGAGGUACGGAACAACUCAGGGAAACUUGAGCUAAUACCGUAUAUUCCGGCAACGGCAAAGAUUUAUCGCCUUGGGAUUGGCCCGCGUCCGAUUAGCUAGUUGGUGAGGUAACGGCCCACCAAGGCACCGAUCGGUAGCUGGUUUGAGAGAACGACCAGCCACACUGGGACUGAGACACGGCCCAGACUCCUACGGGAGGCAGCAGUAGGGAAUCUUGGACAAUGGGGGAAACCCUGAUCCAGCCAUGCCGCGUGAGUGAUGAAGGCCUUCGGGUUGUAAAACUCUUUCGACGGGGACGAUAAUGACGGUACCCGUAGAAGAAGCUCCGGCUAACUUCGUGCCAGCAGCCGCGGUAAUACGAAGGGGGCUAGCGUUGUUCGGAAUUACUGGGCGUAAAGCGCGCGCAGGCGGCCUUUCAAGUCAGGGGUGAAAGCCCGGAGCUCAACUCCGGAAUUGCCUUUGAAACUGUCAGGCUCGAGUACGGGAGAGGUGAGUGGAAUUCCCAGUGUAGAGGUGAAAUUCGUAGAUAUUGGGAAGAACACCGGUGGCGAAGGCGGCUCACUGGCCCGUUUCUGACGCUCAGGCGCGACAGCGUGGGGAUCAAACAGGAUUAGAUACCCCGGUAGUCC